GCUAAUUCUUUAUUUAUAAUAUAUUAACUGUAAAACGUAAACCAUAUUUUGUACAUGGUAAAAUACAAUUUAAAAUUAUCUUAUUUAAGGAAACUCUGUGUACCUAAUAGUCAUCAUUCUGAAUUUAUCGGGAAAAUAUUUUGUUAUUAACAACGGGUAUGAAUAGCGUACUAAACAAGAGUAAAACUAAUAAGUAUAAUAUAGUUAGGUUAGCCUAUAACUGCUUAUUGACGUUAGCUGGCUUACCUGUUCAUCUAAACCUCAUACUCGGGUUUAUUUCUACUUAUCUUUAAUCCCAUUUCUUCAAGUGCUACUCUCCAACACUCAAGAUUAGUAUUGACUGAUUGUAGAUUUUCUCCUAUUAAAUAUAUGUAUAUCUGAAAAACACCAUGCACCGUGAUAACUCUUUUCACCUGCAAAGCUGUGAUCCGAGCGCACAUCCGAGAUAGGGCAAUCUGCCAAAGUCUUGUUUAGAAUUCCUCAUAUUGUUUAACAGAAUUUUAUAUCGGCUGUCGUCCCGACACAACCCCUUUUUUCAUCUCUUACGACAUGUACCGAAAGAUAUUAUGAUUCCCUGCCAUAGAGAAAAUAUAAAAUAA